rnacentral:lncRNA from 1 species
AUUACUUCUUACAUUGGAAUGUUGAAAGUGUUUAAUACUGAAGCCAACAUCACCUACAAUUUUCUUAAGGAAGUUACUUUGUUGCAUCUAUUCUGGAGGCCUCAGGAACCAUGUUUCAUCUCUCGAAGGCCAAGGACUCAUAGAUUUUUCCUUGGGUCUUGGAAGAGACUUAAAAUUUAAACUUUGCAGCAAUGAUGAAACUAGUAAGACUCUGGUGAGUUUUAGAGAUGAGAUGAACAAAAUGCGUUUUAUAUAAUGAGAUGAAAAUGAGUCUUUUGGGGGUCAGGGUUAGAAUGUUAUGAUUCAGAUCUAAAAUGUCCCCCCAGUGCCUUAUGUGUUUAAGAGUUGAUUAGAUGUAUCUUAGGGUGCUAUAGUCAUCAGUAGAUUCAUCCAUUGAUAAGUUCCAUAGCAAAAAAUGCCUCAAGGAGGAGGAGCCUGGUGUAUU